GUCUGUUCCCAGGAUGGGAAAUAACCCAGAUCCAAGGUUCCAAAGGUUAUGGGGCUUGCAGCACAGCCAGGUCAGGAUGGCCGUGAGUGGAGCCCUGACCUGUCCGCAUGGCCCCAGAUCCUGCAGCCCCGCUCUACUUCCUACACACCAAGACUGGCACAUCCGGGUGCGGCGGAAUAUCCCACCACCUGGGCUGCCCAUCUCAGCACUGUGCCAGGCCAGCUGCCUCUCUGGGAGUCCCCGGGUCUAGCCCCGCCCCGCCCCGGGGCCGCUCCGACCGAGGUAAACAGAGGCUAAAAAUAACCUGGGCAAGGGGCGGCUGCAAGGGAGAAGGGGGUCCCUUCUGAGCCUGUCCUUGUCUCCAUGGCAACUGCCCCCAAACCCGGCGGCUGACGUCAUCUCGCAGCUGCCCAAGCGUAUAGGAGAGAGGGGGAGCGGCACGGCCCCGGACCCCCCACCCCGGAACCGGGCGGAGGCUGUCGGGUGGCCUCACUUCCUGCCGGCCCCCUCCCUGGUCAGCUGGUUACAUUCCCUGGCCGCGCGCUGGGAGCCAGGCGGCCUCCCCCGGGCCAGGCCUGGCCAGGGCUGAGUCCGAGCGGCGGCGCAGAGGGGCCGCCGUGACUCACCCGCGCCCUCCCCGUCCGCUUCUCUCCAGCAGGACCCAGCCCAGAGUCCUGAGUCCUCCCCUCACCCGCACCCAAACCCAGACCUGGGGCGGCUCACCUUGCUCCUCUCUCCCGCCGCAGUCACAGGACCCAAGCCAGAGAGGGCGGUGGAAGAAGGAGCUAUGCCAGUCCUCCUUGUCCCGCUGGAGUAUUUUGUACCUCAGCCCCCAAUUAUCAUCCCUCUCCUCCCUCCAAUACCACGGAGGUGGGUGUCGCAGGGGCAAGGACUCAGAUCUAAUCCUCGCUUCUCCCAAACCAGCUGUGUGACCUUGAGAAUACUACUAACCUCUCUGGGCCUGUUUCUGCAUCUGCCAGAUGGUCAUAACCCUCCUCAGAUGCUGUGCGUUGGCCGAAUGCGGCAGGCCCAGGGCGCGGCCCCGCAGACUGCAGCCAGGGCACAAGGAUUGUUACACGAGGCUGCGCACAGUAGGUGCUGGGGCGGCCAGCCUGGACACACGUUAGAACUGGCUGGGGAGGGUCUGUAGGGGAGGCCGGACUCAGGGCUCACCCUGGAGAGGAGGACAAAGGGUGCUGAAUCUGGACUGAAUCCGACCUCUAGCCCUGGGCUGGGCCGUGGGAGUGCUGGCCAACGUGCCAGGCAGGGAGGACCUGAAUUCCUGAAGGUGGUGGUGGCAGCUGUUAGGGUCCACAGGUUAAUGAUCUCCAACGUCACACAGAAGAGAAUGUGCUGAGGUGUGACCUCCCUCACCCUGCCUUGGCUGCGUGGGGCACUGUCUCUCCAGGACUCACCCUGCCCCCCAGUAGACUGAAGUCUGAAGAUCAACCCAGUCUUCCUUCAGGCCUCAAUGCCCUCUCACUUCCCCAGCCCGAGGGACU
rnacentral:lncRNA from 1 species